rnacentral:rRNA from 1 species
UACGAAGGGGGCUAGCGUUGUUCGGAAUUACUGGGCGUAAAGCGCGCGAAGGCGGCUAUCCAAGUCAGUGGUGAAAGCCCGGAGCUCAACUCCGGAACUGCCAUUGAAACUGUUUAGCUUGAGGAUGAGAGAGGUGAGUAGAAUUCCCAGUGUAGAGGUGGAAUGCGUAGAUAUCGGGAGGAACACCUGUGGCGAAAGCGGCUCACUGGACCACAACUGACGCUGAGGCGCGAAAGCUAGGGGAGCAAACAGG